UAGCCGUAAACGAUACUCGCUAGGUGUCGGCCACGGUGCGACCGUUGUCGGUGCCGUAGGGAAGCCGUGAAGCGAGCCACCUGGGAAGUACGGCCGCAAGGCUGAAACUUAAAGGAAUUGGCGGGGGAGCACCACAACGGGUGGAGCUUGCGGUUUAAUUGGAUUCAACGCCGGAAAUCUUACCGGAACCGACAGCAACAUGAAGGCCAGGCUGAAGACUUUGCCGGAUUAGCUGAGAGGAGGUGCAUGGCGUAGUCGUGU
rnacentral:rRNA from 1 species